rnacentral:rRNA from 1 species
UACGUAGGGUGCGAGCGUUGUCCGGAAUUAUUGGGCGUAAAGGGCUCGUAGGCGGCCAACUAAGUCAUACGUGAAAUCCCUCAGCUUAACUGGGGAACUGCGUGUGAUACUGGAUGGCUUGGAUUUGGGAGAGGGAUGCGGAAUUCCAGGUGUAGCGGUGAAAUGCGUAGAUAUCUGGAGGAACACCGGUGGCGAAGGCGGCAUCCUGGACCGAUACUGACGCUGAGGAGCGAAAAGCGUGGGGAGCGAACAGG